UUGGAGUGUCGUCAAAGUUGUGUAAACCUU
rnacentral:sRNA from 1 species